UACGUAGGGGGCUAGCGUUGUCCGGAAUCAUUGGGCGUAAAGCGCGUGUAGGCGGUUCGGUAAGUCCGCUGUGAAAGUCGGGGGCUCAACCCUCGAAAGCCGGUGGAUACUGUCGAGCUAGAGUGCGGAAGAGGCGAGUGGAAUUCCUGGUGUAGCGGUGAAAUGCGCAGAUAUCAGGAGGAACACCAAUUGCGAAGGCAGCUCGCUGGGACGUUACUGACGCUGAGACGCGAAAGCGUGGGGAGCAAACAGG
rnacentral:rRNA from 1 species